AGUAUUCCUACGAUGCCCUGGAGAAGAAGCAGUUUCUCCCCGUGGCCUUUCCUGUGGGAAACGCCUUCUCAUACUAUCAGAGCAACAGAGGCUUCCAGGAAGACUCAGAGAUCCGAGCUGCUGAGAAGAAAUUUGGGAGCAACAAGGCCGAGAUGGUGGUACCUGACUUCUCGGAGCUUUUCAAGGAGAGAGCCACAGCCCCCUUCUUUGUAUUUCAGGUGUUCUGUGUGGGGCUCUGGUGCCUGGAUGAGUACUGGUACUACAGCGUCUUCACGCUAUCCAUGCUGGUGGCAUUCGAGGCCUCGCUGGUGCAGCAGCAGAUGCGGAACAUGUCGGAGAUCCGGAAGAUGGGCAACAAGCCCCACAUGAUCCAGGUGUGGCUGCCGGGGAGACCCAGGUGGGGGUUGCGGCACAGGUGCAGCUUCUGUGCUGACACCCAUGCCCCACCCAGGUCUACCGAAGCCGCAAGUGGAGGCCCGUUG
rnacentral:sRNA from 1 species